UACGAAGGGGGCUAGCGUUGCUCGGAAUCACUGGGCGUAAAGCGCACGUAGGCGGUUCGUUAUGUCAGAUGUGAAAGCCCUUGGCUCAACUGAGGAAGUGCAUCUGAAACUGGCGAGCUAGAGUAUGUAAGAGGGUCGCGGAAUUCCCGGUGUAGAGGUGAAAUUCGUAGAUAUCGGGAGGAACACCGGUGGCGAAGGCGGCGACCUGGGACAAUACUGACGCUGAGGUGCGAAAGCGUGGGGAGCAAACAGG
rnacentral:rRNA from 1 species